ACAACAUUCGGACCGUCGGUCUACCGAGCAAAUAUCACCCGCUCGGUGGAAGUUCUUACCUCCGUCGU
rnacentral:pre_miRNA from 1 species